CUCUACACUGCAUCAAAGUGUUGUUUCUUUAGUGUUGAAUAUAUCAUAUGUAGAUUUUACAAUGUUGCGGUAUAUUAAAAGGAAAAUGUCAAGCACUAGGACCAAGCGAUGCGAAGUGAAGCCCACUUUCCUUUAGACCGCCUACAAGCUAAUCGAUUGGCUCAGUGGUUUGUUUUUUUAAUGUCCUAACGCGUGAUUGGCCGCAAUCGCUGUCAUUCACUCCAUUAAGCACCCAUUAGCCCAGAGUUCGUGUUCAUCGAACUAAGUUGCUAACUUCUUACCCGUUGAGUUCUGCUUAGCUAGCUUAAAAAUGCUAUAAUAUUGCUAUAAUAUUUCAAGGGGAAUAUUAUUUUAUUAUACUCUUUCGACUAUAUUUCACCCUUCUAAUUAGAAAUGAGUCCUCAAACAUGUAAAUGUAUUAAAAAUACAUCGUAAAAAAUAAUGAUAUUACUCUACACUGCAUCAAAUUGUUGUUUCUUUAGUAUUGAAUAUAUCAUAUGUAGAUUUUACAAUGUUGCGGUAUAUUAAGAUGAAAAUGUCAUGCACUAGGACCAAGCGAUUUCGAGCUUGAAGGCCGCUUUCCUUUAGACCGCCCACAAGCUAACCGAUUGGCUCGGUGGUUUGUUUUUUAAUGUUCUAACGCGUGAUUGGCCGCAAUCGCUGUCACUCACUCCACGAGCGCCGGUUAGCCCGGAGUUGUGUUCAUCGAAGACCGCUAAGCUAAACAUCGAUGUGAUUUGUGCGGCCUGAGCGAUGAUGCAAACAGCGUGGCACUUCCUGCUGAUGACACCUCCCAGCCUGGCUGGACUUAGAGCCUUGUGUGAUCCCCAUAAGCCGGAACAGUUCCAUCACUAUGUUUCCAUCCCGGGUGGUUGGAGGCCAAGUUGCUUGAAAAAAGGAACGAGAACGAUGAGAAAUCCCCACUGGCUGGCAGUGCUCUUUGAUUGACAUCUUUUCAAGUGGUGGGAAAUGGAACCCCAUAUGAAUGACACUCUCACUUCCUGUGACUUCUUGGAAGGCCAACUGUGAGCCGUAAUCGCUCCUGUGUGUCCGAGGUCUGCCCUAAGGCCUGCCCUUCAGUGGGCAUGCCUGGAAGGCGGACAAGAUGCCUGAGCCACAUCAAGUGGGUCCUCUCCCGGAUGACUGAGAUCCUCCUCCUAUCUCUUAGGGCUUCAUCCAUCAGUUUGCCGCACGGACAGGAAGUAGAGUCUGCUAAACGGCGUUACCAACAUGGCCUACAUGUGGCGUGACAUUCAUCAAGCUGAUGGAAGAAACGAUUGUCGACUGCAGACGCACGUGUCCUCGCACACGCUCAGGAAGUGUCUGCACAACAACAAUGAGCCACGGUGAAGACCUGCACAUGCAAAACAAACAUCACAUUCUUUCAAGCUCCCCCGCUGUAUAAACACGUGUGUGUGUCAGCUUUGUGAUCAUUAUGAUGCUACGCCGCUACAAAAGUCAUACUCUGUUGUCUUACCUUGUCACUGUUAGGAAUAGAAUAUUUUCCCUCCUUUGUACAAGACAUGUUGAAGGCUUGUUGACAGCGGAGGCAAAAUAUUCCAUUCCUAACACAACCUCGAUUGGUUGUCUCCUGUUUCAACCCUUAGUCCUUGUGUAAUUGUUUACCAUUUGGUUCUUAAAAAGAAGUCAAUAUUGAAGGCUUGUUGAUAGCAGAGGCAAAAUAUUCCAUUCCUAACACAACCUACAUUGGUAGUCUCCUAUUUCAAUCCUCAGUCAUUGUGUAAUUGUUUACCGUUUUGUUCUUAAAAAGAAGUCAAUAUUGAA